GUGAGGAAUAUUGCGCAAUGGGCGAAAGCCUGACGCAGCGACGCCGCGUGGAGGAUGAAGGUCUUCGGAUUGUAAACUUCUGUUAAGUGGGAAGAAAGGGCUGUUUUUAAUAGAAGCAGUUAAUGACGGUACCAUUAAAGAAAGCACCGGCUAAACUCGUGCCAGCAGCCGCGGUAAUACGAGUGGUGCAAGCGUUAUUCGGAAUAAUUGGGCGUACAGGGUGUGUAGGCGGUAUGUUAAGUCUGUUGUUAAAGACUCCGGCCUAACCGGAGACAGGCAGCGGAAACUGGCGUACUAGAGGGUGGAAGAGAGAAGUGGAAUUCUCGGUGUAGCGGUAAAAUGCGUAGAUAUCGAGAGGAACACCGAUGGCGAAGGCAGCUUCUUGGUCCAUACCUGACGCUGAAACACGAAAGCGUGGGGAGCAAACAGGAUUAGAUACCCGAGUAGUCC
rnacentral:rRNA from 1 species